CUACGGAGGGUGCGAGCGUUAAUCGGAAUUACUGGGCGUAAAGCGUACGUAGGCGGUUGGUUAAGUUAGAUGUGAAAGCCCCGGGCUUAACCUGGGAACUGCAUUUAAAACUGGCGGACUAGAGUUGAGUAGAGGGGAGUGGAAUUUCAGGUGUAGCGGUGAAAUGCGUAGAGAUCUGAAGGAACACCAGUGGCGAAGGCGACUCCCUGGACUCGAACUGACGCUGAGGUACGAAAGCGUGGGUAGCAAACGGGAUUAGAAACCCCGGUAGUCC
rnacentral:rRNA from 1 species